GCUGGGAGAGCAUGGGUGGUUCAUGCGCUCCCCUUGUAAGGGAGAGUUCCGUGGGUUCGAAUCCCCGUCCCAGCU
rnacentral:tRNA from 1 species